AAAAAGAGAAAAAGAAAAAAAAUUUGAAUAGAUGGACCCACGAACAGACUGAAAUAUGACAGAAAUUACUUCGUUUUCCCCUAGAUGUCAGACUAUGAAGCGCUUGAUAGUCCAUAAACUAAGCAAGAGGAGAGACUCAUGUUCCUGAAGAGCGCGACUGGCCCAGUUACACGGGGCUUAGUGUAAUGGCAUCACCCAGCUACGCAGUCUCUAGGAUCGGAACUCUCUUCUCCCUGAUCAGCAAUCAUGCACCCGUCCUUUGUCUUCACCUUAUGUCCACUCCCUGCUUUUACAUGGUCUGUGACCAAGCUCCAGGCAGCACCUUACUCUAGAGUUUUAUCUCAGAUAUGGCUGUUUUUUCCGACCCCUUAUUUCUGAGGAACUGCGGCGUUGACCCGUUCUGCCCCUCUGGGGAGGGUCUCACUGAGCAAUGGCCAGGUGCUGGCCCCACCCAGGUACGUUCAUGGGAUCAUGCUGCUGCCAACACCCAGAGACUGCAGCUGGAUGCCAGGCCGCCCCAGAAAAAGUUCACAUGAUCCUGUAGCAGCGGCGUUUCAGGGAUAUGGAAAAUCACAACACACAUCUGGCACCAGGCUUCACCCCCAGCAACCUUGUUCCAACACCAGUGAAUAUGGUUGUUCUCCCGAGGUCCACUGGGGCCUUUGACUUUGGGUGAUCCACACAGCCUUUACCAGGUGUCCUCCCAGCAGGGGUACCGCCUCCUCCGUGUGGCCUAAAGACCCUGGACUUCACUGUGCUUCUGGGGAUUCGCCCUUCUCACCAGUGCUCCACCAGUGAGAAAAUAAUUUUACGUUAAGUUGCUGCAUCUACACCUCAAAUGUUCAUCAUGAGUUUCAUCUUUCCAAUGAGACCCAGGGCCUAACACCAGCGACAGACUUCAACAAGGUUUUGUUUACGGAGAAAACGGAAACACCUCAUGUACUUCCUGUUUCUCCUGAAUUUUUAAAAUAUUAUGUCAUAUUUUAUGAAUCACAUUGAAAAAAGGUUCCAUAGGUACAAAAAUGCAUCUGUAUUAACUAUGUCUUUCCAAAAUGUCUUUUCCACACCCCUACCUUAGAAAGUAGAUAUUUAAAAAAUAAUCUUUUCUUAAUGACUCAUAAAUAUGUAGCAUUUGAUGCUCCCUCCUUCUCCCCUUUACUAUCAAAUAUGCGAAUAGUGUUAUAUCUUAGUUGUGGGUCAGUGCUAACAUUUUGCAUCUAAAAAUAAUUUGACCUUCAUUCUAGAUCUGUGGCUUUUUGUGUGUGUGGCUUUUUGUUUUUGUUUGUUUGUUUUAAAUGUUUAUUUAUUUAUUUUGAGAGGGCAUGCAUGAGAGAGCAGUAGUGAGGGAGGGGCGGAGAGAGAGGGAGAGAGAAUCUGUGCUGCCAGCUCAGAGCCCGAUGACCCAUGAGAUCAUAAGCUGAGACAAAACCAAGAGUGGGAGGGUUAACCAAUUAAGCUUUCCAGGCAACCCUUAGAACUGUGUUUAUCUAAUAGUUGAGGGAUAUUAAGACAAUCCCUCAGUUCAUGGGGUAUCAGUUUCUCUUGCUAAAAUGAAGUAGGCAAAGUGCUUAAAAUCAAAUGGUAAGUCCUGUUCAGCUACAAAAUUUACUGUCUGAUAUUAGGAUUUAUCUAUGCUGAAUUCACCAUAUAUCUGUUAAAGAAAAUCAGAGCCAGAUAGAAGUUAAAGCAGUGAGGAUAGAUUUCAUGGGGGAAAAAAAAAAGUAUUGUAGUAGGGGAAGAGAGCCUCCAGAAUAUGAAUUGGCUCAAUUCCAAAUACAACCGUAACCAGGGGGCAUUUACAGUCAAGAAGCAAGGAGGCUGGGGAAAGGACUGGGGACAUUAGUGAAUGGGAAAUUACUAAGAAGAGACUUCAAAUCUGGGCGUGGGGGUGGAUUCCGGUGAAUCUAACCUAACAGAAAUCUUGCUGAAGGUAGUCCAGAGUGAUUAGAUAUCACCUGGGGGAUUGUACGGAUAAAGGAUUUGAUCAGAUAUCAGGAAUGGAGAAUUCUUGCUAAACUCACUUAGCAAGAGUUUUGUUAAAAGUAGAUUCUACAAGGAAGUAACAAGGAUGAGUCUUACUAGGGAGAGGGUUCAGAGAAAUCUGACCCAAGUUUGGUCAAAGAAUCUUUGUCAUACCCUAGAAUUAACUCUUGUUUGUUUUUACAGAUUUCUGUAAUUUGGACAAUACCUUUUUAUUUUAGGUGCACUUCCUUGUCAUGAAAUAUCAGAGAAAGAAAUAUUCCGAUUAUUUAAGUUCCUUGUUAGUAAUAACCAAAGUUGCCAUGCUUACAGGCUUACUGUGUACCAGGUUGGUACUAAGUGCAUGUAUCUUUCAGAAUAGCCUACCUUAUGGCACAAUACCAACUCCAAAAUCUCACCAUCUUAGAAAAUCAAAGGCUUAUUCCUUGCUCAUGUCAUAUGUCCACUGUAAGUUGGCUGCAACUCUGCUUAGCACCACCUUCACUCUGGUACCCAGCUGAUGGCCCACCUCUGUCUGAAAUAUUCUCAAUCUUGUGGAAGAGAGAAACAAGAGGUAUCAUGGAACACUACAUGAUGCUUCUCAAAACUUCUGCCCAAUGUAAUACACAGCAUUUCUGCUCAACUACCACAGACAUAAGCAAAUCUAUGGCAUUGGCUUGGUGUCAUGGGGAGAAGAAGUAAACAUUACCAUAGAAACAUUCAAUAAUUGUGAAAAAUAAUACAGCCUGCCAAAGAGUUCUUAUGUAUAUUAUUAUAUAUAAACUUUAAAUCAGGACUGAUUGUAAUUUUUUUCUCUUUUAAAUAGGGAAAAACAAAAUUAUAAAUGUAGAGCUGUUACAUUUAAAAAGCCUGGAUUUGAAUGAAGAUUCAGAUCUGUAGUUUUCAACUUGAAAUCAUUUUGUCAAAUUUUGAUAAAUUGGUUAUAUUCUUUUAUGGGGAUCUCCUAAAAAGCAAGUAAGAAUGAUAAAGUAAGAAGUAUAAUUAGGAAGACGAUGAUAGUGAAAACAUAAGAUUAGCAAUGAAUUUUCUCUUUUAAAUGUUCAGAAUUCUGUUGUCUUAGUCAAAUAUAUACUCUAAAUGGCUUCUAAGCAUUAAAAAUGUUGGGGAUUUUGUAAUGGCAGACCUUUAUAAUGAUUUGAUUUAAAAAUUUUGAUUUCAAUGUUUUAUUUUCUUAGUCUAGGAUGUGGAGAAGCAGUGAGUCAAAGUCAAAGAAGUAGAGCAAGGAGAAAGGGAGGGGCAAGCAUAGCACUUUUCAUCACACAGAAAUUGAGAAUUUAACAGUUGAUUAGCUAUUAGAGUGUCUUGGUAGUUCCCUUGUGUUUUACAUUCCUUUCAGCUUAAUUAAUGACUCACUCUGCCUCUUAAUCUGCCUUCCUUAGAUUACCAACACAGUAGCAUUGUUUAUUUAAGGAGAAUUGCAGGGAGGUGGAUGUUAAAUAGUAUAGGUCAGUAUCUCAUCCAUAGUUGAAUGCCUAAUAAUGUCUUGCUGAUUCAUAUUUAGACCUUAUUCUGCAUUUGACAUAGUUCCAUGGUUGGUAUACAAUAUGGAUUUUAAUCUUUAUUUACUUUGGAAUUUCUUCAGAGAUUUUGAAAUUGUUUUAGAAAAAAAGUAUUUUUUUUAAGUUCCACAGAUAAAGCAUAAAAAUGAAGUAUGUUUCAUAUUCCUUGAUCUAGGGCUUCCAUGUAGGAAUAUAUGAUCAUUGAUAUAAAAAAAAGCACGGUUCAUACUAACCACCCUCAAAUACACAGGUAAAAUGGUGCAGCGUUUAAGAAAACAAAGCAUGGUUGAAAUUGGAGUUGCUGCCCUAUUAUUGAAUUAUGAUAUUUACUCUCAUAUAUUCCCAAAAUUUCACUGUUAUUAAUCCAGGAAAUCAAGAAUUUAAGAUCCUCUCUGCUUCUCUCCCUGUCUCUCUCUGGGUAUCUCUCCUUAGCUUUGGAGGCUACAAUAGGCUCUGUUGAAUUUCUUUGUUAUUUUAUUUUGUUUUAUUUCAUUUCAUUUCAUUUCAUUUCAUUUCAUUUCAUUUCAUUUAUUUUAUCUUAUUCUAUGAGACACUAUAAUCUCAUAUUCAGAGGUUCUACAUUAGAUUUAAUUUGUCCUUCAAAACUGGAUUAGAGAGAGAUGCCAACACAUAUGGUAACUCCUGGAACAGUUUGCAGCUUGAACAACCUACAGGAAACCAUGAAAGCCACAUUUCCUGUCAGUACUGUGAAGCCAAAAUCUGCGUUUGAAAAUGAACUUGAGCAUGUACCUAAAAUCUGUGCAAAAAUCCAUUUAGUGAUCUUGUAUAGUUUUAGAGGUGACAUAUCCUGAGUGACAUUCCAAUAAAAGCUACCAAAAUCUUGA